UUCGUUGGCCAGUCUGGAUCCAUUGUGCGUCCAGGUCUCCCACGCUUCCUCUCGUCCUUCUUUAACACCUCCAUGCCUGGGAGGACUUUGAAGCGCUUGGUCCCCUUCUUGGUCCUCCUCCGGUAGGCCUCCUGCUGUUUCUCCUGGGCUUUCUCUACGUUGAGUCGCACCUUGACCGUUCAAGAGAAAGGAAAGCAGCUAAACUUUAUAUUGUCUGUUUUAUAACUUUGUGUCUGUGAUGCAUUGUUAUUACGUUAACAAUUACUUAGCAUCACUCAGAUGGGUGAUACACAUUGGUGUUACAGAAACUGAGUGCACCGUGUGGUGAAAGGUACAGUGCACAGUUGUGUAAUAUGUGAUGUAACGUUAGGUCAUUUCUCGCACCUUGUCGAAAACCUCCUCAUCAUUGUUGGCCCUGGUCUGGAGGUAGUCUUCGAAGGCGCCGUCACCAGGCCCGUCAACCUCAUGAGGAAGGUCACCUAUGAUCUGAAAUGACAUGAUAAUACAGAACAUGCAGCAGAUAGUUGCGUGAAGUUAGUGUUUUUUUUUAUUCUAUUGCAAAUAUAGCAAUAUUUGAGAAUAAAAUAUCAAAAGUUGACAUACCUCGGUUGACAGCCGUGGCUCCCGACCAUACAUCAGUCGGUAGGGUGAAUACCUGGUGGAAGCCUGAACACUGGUGUUAUGUGCAAACAAGAUUACCUUCAGGUUAUCCUCCCACCGUUCUUGAUGCCCAUCCAGUCUUCCCGAUGGCCCUCUUCAGCGUCUGGUUGGUCCUCUCAUCCAGUCCGUUAGUCUGGGGAUGGUAGGCAGACGUGAUCCGAUGCUUUGCCCCCCAGUUCUCGAACAAGAUCUGGUCAACCUAAAUAAAACUCUCUGCCCUGGUCCGUCAGAAUGACCUCUGGUGCGCCAUGGGUGUGGAAUAUGACAAGAGCAGGCUGCAGCGUAUCAUCCGCACUGCUGAGAAGGUGAUUGGCUGCAAUCUGCCUGCCCUCGAGGACCUGCACACCUCGAGGACCCUGAGGCGAGCGAGGAAGAUUGUGGCCGACUCCUCCCACCCUGGUCACUCCCUGUUUCAGUCACUCCCCUCCGGCAGAAGGCUGCGGUCCAUCAGGACCAAUACCACACGCCACAAGAACAGUUUCUUCCCUUCCGCUGUUGGCCUCUUCAACAAGGCCAAGGGUUCACGCUGACUUCAUGACUCAAUGCCCUUAAAACAC